GACGAACGCUGGCGGCGUGCUUAACACAUGCAAGUCGAACGAAGUGGCGAACGGGUGAGUAACGCGUAAUCAUCCUGACCCUCAGAGGGGGACAACAGUUGGAAACGACUGCUAAUACCGCAUACUGAAGGAGGGGAUUGCGUCUGAUUAGCUAGUUGGAGGGGUAACGGCCCACCAAGGCGAUGGUCAGUAGCCGGUCUGAGAGGAUGAACGGCCCCAGUGGGACUGGGACACGGCCCAGACGCCUACGGGAGGCAGCAGUCGGGAAUCUUCCGCGAUGGAGGAAAGUCUGACGGAGCAACGCGGCGUGAGUGAUGAAGGUCUUCGGGUUGUAAAGCUCUGUUGAUCGGGACGCGGUACCGGAAUAGAAAGCCACGGCUAACUACGUGCCAGCAGCCGCGGUAAUUC
rnacentral:rRNA from 1 species